GAAAAAUAUCGAUAAAACACUUAAAAAAAAAGAAAAUGGUCGUUAUGAUUAGAUUUAUUUACAAUAUGAUUAGAUUUAUUCGUUAGUUCUUUUCAUCUUUUGAAAUUUUAAGUCAAUAUGAUUAGAUUUAUUUACAAGUUUGAUUUAAAAAAAAAGAAGUUCAAAAAUUCAAUGGCAUAAGGCCAAAGUUUCUACUUGAAAUAAGGUCUAAGCUUGAAAUUAC
rnacentral:lncRNA from 1 species